rnacentral:rRNA from 1 species
GCGGGACACGUGGUAUCCUGUCUGAAUAUGGGGGGACCAUCCUCCAAGGCUAAAUACUCCUGACUGACCGAUAGUGAACCAGUACCGUGAGGGAAAGGCGAAAAGAACCCCGGCGAGGGGAGUGAAAAAGAACCUGAAACCGUGUACGUACAAGCAGUGGGAGCCUCUUAAUGGGGUGACUGCGUACCUUUUGUAUAAUGGGUCAGCGACUUAUAUUCUGUAGCAAGGUUAACCGAAUAGGGGAGCCGAAGGGAAACCGAGUCUUAACUGGGCGUUAAGUUGCAGGGUAUAGACCCGAAACCCGGUGAUCUAGCCAUGGGCAGGUUGAAGGUUGGGUAACACUAACUGGAGGACCGAACCGACUAAUGUUGAAAAAUUAGCGGAUGACUUGUGGCUGGGGGUGAAAGGCCAAUCAAACCGGGAGAUAGCUGGUUCUCCCCGAAAGCUAUUUAGGUAGCGCCUCGUGAAUUCAUCUCCGGGGGUAGAGCACUGUUUCGGCAAGGGGGUCAUCCCGACUUACCAACCCGAUGCAAACUGCGAAUACCGGAGAAUGUUAUCACGGGAGACACACGGCGGGUGCUAACGUCCGUCGUGAAGAGGGAAACAACCCAGACCGCCAGCUAAGGUCCCAAAGUCAUGGUUAAGUGGGAAACGAUGUGGGAAGGCCCAGACAGCCAGGAUGUUGGCUUAGAAGCAGCCAUCAUUUAAAGAAAGCGUAAUAGCUCACUGGUCGAGUCGGCCUGCGCGGAAGAUGUAACGGGGCUAAACCAUGCACCGAAGCUGCGGCAGCGACACUAUGUGUUGUUGGGUAGGGGAGCGUUCUGUAAGCCUGUGAAGGUGGCCUGUGAGGGUUGCUGGAGGUAUCAGAAGUGCGAAUGCUGACAUAAGUAACGAUAAAGCGGGUGAAAAGCCCGCUCGCCGGAAGACCAAGGGUUCCUGUCCAACGUUAAUCGGGGCAGGGUGAGUCGACCCCUAAGGCGAGGCCGAAAGGCGUAGUCGAUGGGAAACAGGUUAAUAUUCCUGUACUUGGUGUUACUGCGAAGGGGGGACGGAGAAGGCUAUGUUGGCCGGGCGACGGUUGUCCCGGUUUAAGCGUGUAGGCUGGUUUUCCAGGCAAAUCCGGAAAACCAAGGCUGAGGCGUGAUGACGAGGCACUACGGUGCUGAAGCGACAAAUGCCCUGCUUCCAGGAAAAGCCUCUAAGCAUCAGGUAACAUCAAAUCGUACCCCAAACCGACACAGGUGGUCAGGUAGAGAAUACCAAGGCGCUUGAGAGAACUCGGGUGAAGGAACUAGGCAAAAUGGUGCCGUAACUUCGGGAGAAGGCACGCUGAUAUGUAGGUGAAGCGACUUGCUCGUGGAGCUGAAAUCAGUCGAAGAUACCAGCUGGCUGCAACUGUUUAUUAAAAACACAGCACUGUGCAAACACGAAAGUGGACGUAUACGGUGUGACGCCUGCCCGGUGCCGGAAG